CUCCCGCCGGCGACCGGCGCACGGGUGAGUAACACGUAUGAAACCUGCCCGUAGCAGGGGGAUAAGCGGAAGAAAUUCCGUCUAAUACCGCGUAACAACCCAUGGAGGCAUCUCUGUGGGUUUAAAGGAAGCGAUUCCGGCUACGGAUGGUCAUGCGUCGCAUUAGCUUGUUGGCGGGGUAACGGCCCACCAAGGCGACGAUGCGGUAGGGGUUCUGAGAGGAACGGUCCCCCACACUGGUACUGAGACACGGACCAGACUCCUACGGGAGGCAGCAG
rnacentral:rRNA from 1 species